UGGGGAAUUUUGGACAAUGGGCGAAAGCCUGAUCCAGCAAUGCCGCGUGUGUGAAGAAGGCCUUCGGGUUGUAAAGCACUUUUGUCCGGAAAGAAAUCCUUGGCUCUAAUACAGUCGGGGGAUGACGGUACCGGAAGAAUAAGCACCGGCUAACUACGUGCCAGCAGCCGCGGUAAUACGUAGGGUGCAAGCGUUAAUCGGAAUUACUGGGCGUAAAGCGUGCGCAGGCGGUUUGCUAAGACCGAUGUGAAAUCCCCGGGCUCAACCUGGGAACUGCAUUGGUGACUGGCAGGCUAGAGUAUGGCAGAGGGGGGUAGAAUUCCACGUGUAGCAGUGAAAUGCGUAGAGAUGUGGAGGAAUACCGAUGGCGAAGGCAGCCCCCUGGCCAAUACUGACGCUCAUGCACGAAAGCGUGGGGAGCAAACAGGAUUAGAUACCCUGGUAGUCCACGCCCUAAACGAUGUCAACUAGUUGUUGGGGAUUCAUUUCCUUAGUAACGUAGCUAACGCGUGAAGUUGACCGCCUGGGGAGUACGGUCGCAAGAUUAAAACUC
rnacentral:rRNA from 1 species